ACGGCUUAGUACUUUAUUCCUCAAAUCUAGGAAGCAGCACUUUGUCUUUGCGGCAGCCGAAGAGUUGUGAGACACUCUAAAGAACGAAUUCUAGAGUGGUUCAGAGCUCCAAUUCAGAAAACAUGGGUCAUUCUCCGGCUGUUCAUCAAUCCACCGAUGAUGAUCCAACCCAGAGGUCUAAGAGAAAAAGGGCAGCACCAAAUGUGGAGAAUUUUGAUAUUGUAGCUACUGGCCAAAUAUUGUCGGAAGAGUGAAAGGCUUUGUACCAUUGCAAUUAUUGCAACAAAGACAUAUCUGGAAGGAUUCAAACUAAAUGUGUUGUGUGCUCUGACUGUGAUCCAUGUGUGGAAUGCAUUUCAGUUGGAGCAAAAAUGCAACCUCACAAAAGCAAUCAGUUGUAUAGGGUUAUGGGAUAUUAAUUAUUUACGAAGGGGAGCCUUGGAGUAACUGGUAAAGUUGCUGCCAUGUGACCAGGAGGUCACGGGUUCAAGCCUUGGAAACAGCCUCUGGCAGAAAUGCAAGGUAAGGCUGCGUACAAUAGACCCUUGUGGUCAGGCCCUUCCCCGGACCCUGCGCAUAGCGGGAGCCUUAGUGCAUCAGGCUGCCCCUUUAGGGAUAUUAAUUAUUUGUCUUUUAAUUGACAUUUUUAAAGAGAAAUUGUGAUUUAGAGACAUUUAGUGACAAUAGAUUUUCUUUUUAGCGAUCAUAUUUAUUGUCCAAAAAUAUUUAGUUGUAAUUGAGUUUAAUGUCAUUAUAUUCAAAUUCGCUAGAGCUUAGAGGUGAUUAUUAACAAAAAUGAUGAGAGCAAAUAAUUCUUAAUAGGAAACUAAAGUAUUUUUAAAAUAUAGCCAAAUAUAUCUACUAUAAUAAGAAAAUAUCAUCAAAGCAUUCAAAAUUUUCUAAAAGCAUUUAAUGAAAUUAAAAAUGAUAGAAAAUAAUUUUCGAUGUAAUUUUUUUCUCCUAGAACACAAAAUGUAGAAGUAAAAUUGAGAUCUAACUCUUUUGUAUUUAGAGAAAAAUAUUAAGUUAGAACAAACUAUUAGAUGAAAGAACGAAAAUUAGGUACUUAAUUUUAUAGUAAAUAAAUAGAGGUUGGUAAGGAACUAGGAUCAAAGGUGUUAACACUCUAAUUUUGUUAAAUUGUAGUCGGUUACUUUUCUUACAUCUUUUUUAAAAAAAAAACAAAAAAUCAUUUUCUACCUCUUCCCCCUUACCCUUUAUUCAAAGAAAUGUGUUCUAGAAUUCACUAAAUAUAUUUCUUCCAAACAUAUUUAAUAUAAUCUAGAAGUAUAAAUAAUAAUACAUUGUUAUGACGAAUAAUUGAAUCUUCGAAUUCUUUACAAUAUGCUCAUACAAAAAAAAGGGACAAAUAUGAGCGAAGUAGGUCUUACAUAGACAUAUAGUAUCCCUGUAGUGGUAUCGGAGAGUGAGCAGCCAAGCCAAUGUAAAAAAGGCGAUGCCGUGCUGGAUAUCAGUAAACCAAUACUCUCAAACCGUGAGCACCCUGAAAAGGGGUGGCCCAACCAGCCAGUAAACUCCCAGGGGCAUGGUCAAACUAUCAAGAGUAAACUCGGGGGCAUUGGUGAGUCAAGAGAGGGCGUCGACGCGCCGAAUAGCCAAGUAAAACUGAGCACAUCCCAGGUGCCUCUAAUGCCUCAAGUAGAAAAAGGAGUAUGUCCCCGACGCCUCAUAAGUUUCCAAACCAGUGAUCAAGUAACCCAGGUGGUACGAUGCCCGUUAAAACCUAGUUUAAAAGUAGUGAAAGCGUGAGAAUGUCCUCUCAAAACAAUAGUGAAAAUCCAUAAAGAAACUGAGAUCGUACCACAAAAUGAGUGAAUAUGCUCAAUCGAUGCAAGAAUGCCAUCACCAGUAUUCAAACAAGGUACACGUAGUCUGAAUAAUACAUCAAGUCGUAGCAUACUAACAAGGAAAAAGAACUAACCUGGGGUCCAAUCGCUCCUCGAAUAUGGCCUCGGGUCCAACAAUGAAUAAUAGAUAAGCAGGCAUCAUAAGCCUAUUGCUAAACAAAAGCGAAACAAUCUAGACAUGGCUCAGAAUCAUAUAGGGGGAGAAAUAUCUCUAGGAACGAUGCUUUACCCCCAAAAUAUGCCAUCACAUCUCUCAACGAGCACAACUAAGCCAAACCUACGGCUACGGCUACGACUAGCCUCAAAGGUCUCCAGCACUAGCACUAAGUUACACCAGCCAUCACAAGCCCUAUCGAAAGCUAUGCCUAGCUAUAAGGGCACUGGAACACAACUAAAGCAUCUAAGGCUCAACCCCAGCCUAAGGCCAUCAAUACCGGUCCUAAGAAGGAUAUUAACGCCGAUUCCAAACCGCAAUAAGGCCCACAACAUAAACUAAGGGUUGAUGGGACCAUUCUAGUCUAAGUUCCAAUCGGAAAUCAAGAAAAUGGUAUAACAGGAGGAGGACUCUAACCUCGGCAAAUACUAACCCAAGUCGCAUGUAAAAUAUACUAAAUGAUAUCUAUAAAGUCCAGUCAAAAGGGGUAGACCGUAGCCUACCUCGAAGCCAAACACGUGCGCUCCGAAUCCACCAAAAUGAAGCUCUCGGCCUCCGAAUCAUACCUCCAAUCGCUGCCACGCUACCAAAAUGUUAAUCACAGUGUUGUGAAAAAGCGCCGAAGCGCUCACUUUAAGCGUGAAGCGAAGUGAGGCGAGGCACUAGCGCUUCAACACCGUGAAGCGAAGCGAUUUCAAAAAAGCGUGCGCUUCAUGGGAGAAGCGAGAAGCACGCUUCAUCUAGAAGCGAGAAAAAAGCUCGCUUUUUUUGAAAAAGCGGCACUAGGUUUUUUUUUAAAAAAAAAUCUGUAAAACUUAUAAUUAAUUGUUCCAAGCUACUGCGACAGUUCAACCAGGUUAGUUUCUCUUCUUCUCUUCUUCUCUUUCUAUUUCUAUUUUUAUUUCCAUUCAUCAGUUCUGUCGUCUGCGCAACUGCUGCGAUGUUCUUCUCUUCAUCUCUUCUUCUCUUCUUCUUUUUCUAUUUCUGCGCAACUGCCGUCUGCGAAGAAUUAUUUUUUUCAAGUUUUAUUCAGCAGUUUGGCCAUUAUUUUUUUUUGAAGAUAAAGCAUAUGCUCUGUUUUUUUUCAACAUAGUCUGGCUGCUUUAUUAUUUAUUUUUUUAAUUUUGCUGCAGUUGCUCUUUUAAUUUUGCUGCAGCUGCUCUAUUAUUGUUUUGACAAUUUGACUUGUGUGACUGAAUUAUUAUUCUAUUUUUUCU